rnacentral:rRNA from 1 species
CAGCACCUCAAGUGGUCAGGAUGAUUAUUGGGCCUAAAGCAUCCGUAGCCUGCUUUGUUAGUUUUCGGUUAAAUCCAUACGCUCAACGUAUGGGCUGCCGGGAAUACUGCAAAGCUAGGGAGUGGGAGAGGUAGACGGUACUCGGUAGGAAGGGGUAAAAUCCUUUGAUCUAUUGAUGACCACCUGUGGCGAAGGCAUCUGACUAGAACGGAUUCGACGGUGAGGAACGAAAGCCAGGGGAGCAAACCGGAUUAGAGACCCGAGUAGUCC